GGAAUUAAAGCGAGAAGCCGAGAAUAGGGACAACUGGAGAGCUCUGUUUGGGCAGAGCAAUGGACCUGUCGUAAGACAGAACACUUAAUAAAAAAAAUACUGUGAGUUCACCGGUCGUGCCGACCUGCUGUGACAGUGCAAACGGGACAAAAACAGAGAAACAUCCCUUCCGAUAAUUGUCCACCCCUUAAGGGGCAGAGACGAGUCAGGUCAGGCCCAAGAAAGCAAAGAGGGGGUGGAAAUGAAUGGGGCACGUUAGCUUCUGGUCUAUGCCGAUGACGCUAAUUUAUUGAGCGAAAAUAUAAAUACUUCAGAGAGAAACACAGAAGCUCCAUUAGAUGCUGAUAGCUCUGUCAGUGAGGCAUGGAUUUGCAGUAUGUUAGAGACUGUUUCUGCUUCCAUUGUCACCGAGUGAUGCCAAGACACUCACCGAGAUGAUACAGAUCCAUUACAUACUGACACAGCUGAUGCCCGAAAAGGCUUCAUUGCCGACUUUGGUCUUCUUAAACUUCCAAAUGUGUGAAGCACAACACAGGACCACAGUCUCAGAACAAACAA